rnacentral:rRNA from 1 species
AUGUCAUCAUCAAAGAGGAAGAGGGCGGACAUAGAUCUCGAGAGGAGGGACGACGACGUCGACGACGGCAGCGGCGAUCACCAUCCCGGAGAGGCCGCACCGCGGGUGCAGAAGGAGGGACAAAUCAAGGAAGGAGAGGCGCCAGCCAAAGAGGUUGUUGAAGUGGUUGUGGACCGAGGAGGAGACGGCUCCAAGGAGGAGAUCAAGUAUGGUACUCAACAAGGAGGUGUGAUUGAGGAGGACAAGCAAUCUGCAGCUGCUGCUGCUGAUAACGAUGCCGGCGACGGCAUCGACGAUGAGGAGGGCGACGGUGGGGGAACUGGCGCAGAAGACAAGCACAUGGUAGAGGCGGCCCCUGGCGACGGCUACGGCGACGGCGACCAUGAGCAUACCGCCAUGGCGCAAGACGAGUUGAGCACGAUGCAGGAGGAGAUGGAGAAGAUGAAGGAGGAGAACAAGAUGCUCCGGCGAGUAGUGGACCGGACGGUGCGCGACUACUACGAGCUGCAGACCAAGCUGGCCGCUUACCAGAAGCAACCGGCAGAUCAGGAGCCUAAGGAGACCGAGGUGUUCCUCUCUCUCGGCGGCACGGCGCCUGCGGCUGCGGUGGCGGAGGCGAAGAGCAAGGAGGAGCAGGCGGCUCUGCGGCCGUCCGUGGGAAGCGACGACACGGACGACGGCAGGGAGGGUCUAGGGCUGUCCCUCAGCCUGCGCACGUCGUCGUACGAGGAUGAAGCGAGGCGCGACGUCGUCGACGGCGGUGCGCCGGACAUCGUCACCGACGUCGGCAAGGUGAGGGGCUACGCGCUGCUUGAGAGCAGCAGGAUGUCCCCGCCUGCGUCCGGCGAUCUCGCCGCAGGCGGCGGGAUCGGGAGCCAGCAGGGCGUCAACGCGGCCAACCGCAAGACUAGGGUUUCCGUGCGCGUCCGAUGCCAAGGCCCCACCAUGAACGACGGGUGCCAAUGGCGGAAGUACGGCCAGAAGGUCGCCAAGGGGAACCCGUGCCCCAGAGCUUACUACCGGUGCACCGUCGCCCCGGCCUGCCCGGUGCGGAAGCAGGUGCAGAGAUGUCAGGAGGACAUGUCGAUCCUGAUCACCACGUACGAGGGCACGCACAACCACCCGCUGCCCGUCGGCGCUACAGCCAUGGCGUCAACCGCCACCGCGGGCGCCGGUGCUGCCACCUUCAUGCUGCUCUCUAGCACCACCUCCGACGCGGCUGUCUCGGGUGGCCCGCCGCCGGCGUCCUCCUCCUACCUCAGCCCCUACCUACAGCCCAACUCUAGCUCCCAAUACCACUCAUCCGCCUCGCCACUAAUGUCCGGCAACAUGGGCGGCGGUGGUGCUCAGCACCUCAGCAUGUUCGGGCAUUCCUCUGGGCUGUCCGCUCAGCCGGCGACGCACCUCAAGUACCCGUGGCCUCCGAACCCUUCGCACGGCGGCGCGGCUGGGCUAGGAGGGGGCAAGAGGCCGUUCUGGGGCACCGGAGGCGUUGACGACGUCAGGCCAACGGCAUUGCCUGACAAUGCCGGCACUAUGGCGUCGGACCCAAAUCAGUUCUCUGCGGCCAUCGCCACCGCGAUCAGCAACGUCAUAGGGAAGGAUGGGCAGGCCACCAGGAGCAAGGAGGGGGAGAGUAGCAACAAGUGGGGGGGUGGUUGA